GGUCCUCCACAGAAAGGGAAUCAUUGCCUUGCAAGAGGUUAACUCAACCCCGCCCACAUUACUCCUCUUCUCUCCGUUCCCCAACAAAAUACCCGUUAGCCCUCGCUCUCUCUCGCACUCUCCUCUCACCAGCCACCGCCGGCCCCGCCCUCCUCCCGCUGGCGAUACCCGUCGCCGACGACGCAGCAGCAACGUCAGCAAAGCUCCUCAGGUGAGGCGCUUUCCUCCCCUCCUCUCCUCCCGCGCCUGCCCUUCCUCGAAACGGUACGAUCUUUUCUCUUUCGUCCUCCAAGAAACGGACAUUGGUGCGCUCUUCUCGAUCACGGACCUCCCUUCCCUUCCUCCCCCGAUGAUCCCUCCCCUGCUGAAGGGCGCGUGAGCCCUCGACGGUUUCGGAUUAUUGAUACCGAUGAAACAGCGGAAAAAGAGCGGUCUUGAUGAUGCACGGGCUGGCCCUGGGCGGGCGCUGAGGGAACGGGAGAAGGGGUCUAAUGUUUCCGUCGCUGGUAGUGGUCCUGUAGAAUCCGGAUCCCCGCAACCUACGUCGGUGAUUUCGAAGAUGGAGAAGAAGGAGCGCAAGAGGAAAUCAUUACCCUCGGCUGAGGCAGGUGUCGGAGUAUUGGAUGAGGACGAGCAGCCGAUUGGUUGUCUUUUCAAGGUCAAGAAGGCAAGGGUUGCGAACAAGGGUAAGCCCGCUUCCCCUGGUGCCAGGGCUGAAAACCCUAGGCAUGACGAGAAGGCGGAGUACGGCGAGAUGGACGAUACAUUAGCCAGUUUCAAGAAGAAGCUGAAGGGUCCAAAGAGGGGUAAAGCUGUUGGUGACGCCGCAUCCAUAGGUGAAAAGAAAUCCCUCCCGUUGGAUGGUUUAGGCUUGUUGGAGAAGGUGGACAACAUGGGAGGUGACAAUGUGCACUUAGGGCAUCUAGGGAAUCCUGGAAGCAGAAGAUCCAGGCAUGAUUUAACCAUGAAAGAUGGGGCUAAAGGUGUUUCAGGUCUUCGCAGCAGCUCAGACGAUUCUUCAGACGUGAGUUUGGGAGAUUCACUAUCAACUUUUGUCAAAAGGGUUCAUCCGACUAAAAAAACAAAGGCAAAAGAUAGAACUCCGAGUAUUGACGAAGAAUUGAUGUGCGGAACUGGCAUGGUUUCCAAAGAUUUGGUUCCAAACCUUGAGAGAUCUCCUCUGUUAAACAGUGGUCUGCCUUCAAUUCCUGAUGGAGCACAAUUGGAACUUGUCACCAAAAGUAGGGGUCCAAAGCCUCAUGGUAUAGUUACAGAGAUGAAGAUCAAUAGUACACCAGAUGGACAUUUGGGUGGGAAAUCUGAUGAUGAAAUGUUGGUGAAAAAACAGACUUCUGCCUCCGGAAAAACUCUCUCUCGCUCAUCUAUGCCUCAAGAAGGUAGGGUACCUACUUCAAAAUCUUCCAAGUUGUCAAGUCAUAGUUCAGGUGGAACUUCCAAACAAUUACCUCGAAAUUCAACUCAUGAGGCUUCUUCUAUUUCUGGCCUUGAAGUUAUGGAAAGUGCAAAAUUUGAUGCUUGUGGUGGUUCUGUUCUACAUCAUGAGGGAAAUUUUGGUAGUUCUGCACCAUCUUCAUUUCACGUCUUGAGUUCUGAUUCUGUUGAAGCAACGAACGAGAUAACUGUUUUACCAAAACAACAGUCAGAAAAAUGUGUGGGAAAUGACCAUAAGAUGAAUCAAAGUCCUUAUGAAACGUCUGACGAGAAGCUACCUCACCAGUUUACUGAUAAGAUAGCAAGGCAGGGGAAUAGUCUCAAACAUUUCACCAAUGGGAGCGCGACUGUGGGUCUAUCAACUUCUGACCAUCUUUUUUCAAUGAUAUGUAAUGGGACUAGGAUUAGACAGUGUUCUCAUAGAUCAAAUGAAUCACCAGCUAAGGAUGGAAAUAAACUUUCUGAUGGUACUCAUGGGUUAUCAGUUCAAGGUUCAUGUUCUGAACAUGUGCUUAGGAUGUCAGAAAAAUGCAAGGAACAUUGUAAUGCUUUAAACGAAGUUAUCACUGGGGUUUCUGAAGAAAUUUAUUCUCUCAAAAGGCAGAGGAAGGAAGUAGUAGGGGCUUUACAUAAUGAUGUGUCCAUUGAUUCAUGCGAUAAAAAUCUAAAUGAGGAUAAAAUACUCAACUUAACUUCUGAGGAAGCUUUUGAAAGACCUUAUUAUAAUUGUGAGAAGAUAUCAUCUGCGAAAGAAAGACUGCAUGCAAUAGAACCUGAAGGUCAUGAUGAAUUAUCAUGGCCUUCCUCUGAGAUUUUACCAAACAUCAAUUGCCAAAAGUGUCAGCUACAUAAUGACUGUAGGUUCCAUCACGGAGUCAGUGGCAGCGGAGAAUAUGGUGGAACUUUGCCUUGUUUAUGUUUCUCAAAUUUUGGUGAGAAGGUAGAAAAAAUUGACGCUGUUGUUGUCCAUCCAGAUCAAUCGACAGAUAUUAUGAGAUCUUGUAAUUCACAACUCUUACCUGCCAACAUCUCAUCUGAUGAGAAUCCUCAACCUGAUGAUGUCAUACACCCAUCGUUGAGUGCAAACAUUCAGGGAGUUUCACUGGUAAAUCACAUACUAUAUGAUGCCUCCAAAGAGCCAUCUUCCACCAAGAGUCGAGUUCCUUUUACCAUUGAGGAUCCUGAUGUGGUGAAUUCUGAGACUAGAUUCAAUCAGACAGAAACUCAUCAAACUGAACCAUCUUCAGUAUCCGAGUGUGAUGUAUAUAACCAAUCAACAAUUUCCCGUGUGGUCCGUAAUACAAAAAUACAUAGGCAUGGUGACAUGGCAUACGAGGGAGAUGCUGACUGGGAAGUUCUAAUGCAUGAGCAAGGACCUUUUGCAAACUUGUCUGCCACUAAUGAAGACCAGUCUCUUAGACAAAGAGAUAAGUCAUGUGCACAUUCCUUAGAUGAGGUUUCUUAUGAUGGUUCAGUAGCAGUAGCAACUGGGCUAAAAGCUCAUGCUGUUAGUCCAAUUGAGAAGAUCAAAUUUAGGGACAUCUUAAAGCGUAGAGGUGGUCUUCAAGAAUAUUUGGAUUGCAGGAACUUUAUUCUAGGUUGUUGGAGUAAAGAUGUGAAGCACAUACUUCCUCUUAUGAACUGUGGUGCAACUGAUGCUUCUUCGAAAGAUGAAUCAGCACGUCAAUCCCUCAUUCGUGAGAUCUAUAUGUUUCUUGACCAAAAUGGUUACAUUAAUGCUGGAAUUGCUUCAGAGCAAUGUGUGCCAAAGCCUUCUGUAAAUGUGCAAGUUAAGGAAAAUGCUAAUACAGAACUAGAUUUGUCGCCAGUGGUUCUAAUAUGUGAAAGAGAACCACCCAAAACUUUCAUAGCUGGGGAUCCUGUGUGCUCAGAUUUGGUCUGUAACUUAAGGAGUGGGUAUGACAAAUUUUCUCCAUAUGAUGAAGGGGUGAGGUGCAAUGAUGCUCAGAAAGAAGACAUUGCGGAAACAUUUAUUCCUUCAAUGAUUGAUCCACCAUUUGAUUGUGGAUCAAAGACUGAUGGUUCCUCACAGCACAUAGAGGCUUUUUCUGAUAUGCACAAUGUGACAAACAUGGUGAAAGAAAAUGCUAAGAUUCAUUCCUCUUUUGCACAAUCUUUAGAGGUGAAUAAGAGUACUGAAUCUGGUCUAAACAUUCACAAGAGGAUAAUCAUUGUUGGAGCUGGUCCUGCUGGCUUAACUGCAGCACGUCAUUUGCAUCGCCAAGGCUUUUCCGUAACUGUUCUCGAGGCUCGAGAUAGAGUUGGUGGUCGUGUAUACACAGACCGCUCAUCACUUUCAGUUCCUGUUGAUCUUGGUGCCAGCAUUAUCACUGGUGUAGAGGCUGAUGUUGCAACUGAAAGAAGACCAGAUCCAUCAUCCUUAAUCUGUAACCAGUUGGGUCUUGAGUUAACUGUUUUGAACAGUGAUUGUCCUCUUUAUGAUAUAGUCACAGGUCUUAAAGUUCCAGCUGACUUAGAUGAAGCUCUGGAAGCUGAAUAUAAUAGUCUUCUUGAUGACAUGGUACUUCUUGUUGCACAAAAUGGUGAAGGUGCAAUGGAAAUGUGUCUCGAGGAUGGAUUGGAAUAUGCCAUUAGGAAGCGGCGGAUGUCUAAGGCAACAUCAGAUUCUGUAGAAUUCAAUAAACUAAGUGUGGUUUAUGAUUCAGCAACAGUGGAUGCUUCUGUAAAUUCCUCAGCUUCUAGAUUGACAGAUGGUGCUGACCAUGAUAUUGAAACUAAUAUUUUGAGCCCCCUUGAGCGAAGAGUGAUGGAUUGGCACUUUGCGCAUUUGGAGUAUGGUUGUGCUGCAUCACUUAAGGAAGUAUCACUUCCUCACUGGAAUCAAGAUGAUGUUUAUGGAGGAUUUGGUGGGCCCCACUGUAUGAUUAAAGGGGGUUACAGCACAGUUAUAGAAAGUUUAGGCCUGGGACUUGAUAUUCAAUUAAACAAAAAUGUUACUGAGAUCAUCUAUAACACCAAUGAAAUAAGUGGUGCCGGCCAAGAUGAAAACAAAGUCAAAGUUAUUACAUCGAGUGGUAUGGAAUAUGUAGGGGAUGCAGCCUUGAUCACUGUUCCACUUGGUUGUCUGAAGGCAGAGACAAUUAAGUUUUCUCCUGCCUUACCUGAUUGGAAGCAGACUUCUAUCAAGAGGCUUGGCUUUGGUGUGCUAAAUAAAGUUGUAUUGGAGUUCUCUAAAGCUUUUUGGGAUGAAAACGUAGACUACUUUGGGGCUACUGCAGAAGAAACAGAUAAAAGGGGCCAAUGUUUUAUGUUUUGGAAUGUGAAGAAGACAGUUGGGACACCUGUUCUUAUAGCACUUGUAGUUGGAAAGGCAGCUAGACAAACCUUCAGCAAAUCUGAUCAUGUGAACCAUGCUUUGAUGGUUCUUCGCAAACUUUUUGGUGAAGCUUCUGUACCAGAUCCUAUUGCAUCUGUUGUGACAAAUUGGGGUAUGGACCCAUUCAGUAGGGGUGCUUACUCUUAUGUUGCUGUUGGAGCAUCUGGUGAAGACUAUGAUAUUUUGGGAAGAACAGUUGCAAAUUGUUUAUUUUUUGCUGGUGAAGCAACCUGCAAGGAGCACCCUGAUACUGUUGGUGGUGCCAUGAUGAGUGGUCUUCGAGAAGCAGUACGCAUUAUAGACAUCUUAACUACUGGUAAGGAUUACCUAGCAGAAGUAGAGGCAAUGGAAUCUACACUGAGACAGUCAGAUAGUGAACGAAAUGAAGUAAGAGACAUGUCAAAGCGACUUGAUGCAUGCAAGCUUUCUAGUGGUCUUUGCAAAAGCUCUUCAGAUGGCAAACAUAUAUUGUCCACCAAGGAAUCUUUAUUGCAAGACUUGUUCUUUAGUGCAAAAACUACAUCUGGACGACUACAUCUUGCUAAAGAAUUAUUGCGCCUUCCUGUUGAAUCUCUAAAAUCUUUCACUGGGACCAAAGAAGGACUCAGCACACUCAACACUUGGAUCCUUGAUUCGUUGGGAAAAAAUUCUACUCAGCUCUUGCGACAUUGUGUUCGCCUGCUUGUUCUUGUAUCAACUGAUUUAGUUGCUGUUCGUUUAUCUGGAAUCGGAAGAACCAUUAAAGAUAAGGUAUGUGUGCAUACUAGUCGAGAUAUCCGUUCUGUUGCAAGUCAGCUGGUUGGCAUGUGGAUAGAAGUUUUCCGCAAGGAAAAGGCUGUAAAUGGAUUGAAGCUGCUGAGGCAAGCAACAUGCUCAGAAUCAUCAAAAGUCAGAUCUAAGGAACUCAUAUUAGGAAAGCCACAUCUACGGAUGACUACUGAAACAUCGGAAAAUAAAUGUACUAUUCAAGUUCCUUCAUCUUCUGGAAGCCAUUCACCAUCUAAAGUAAACAUUAAGAAACCUGAGAUCCUGCCCACCAAGUUAGAAUCCUCAGUAUGCAUAAAAUCUGAUGUCAGAUCAUUGCGUUCACAGAGUAUUGUACACACAAAGUCAAAGACAAAGGAUAAUUUAGUUGUAUCUGAAGAAGCUGCAACCUUUGCUGCCGUAGAAUCUGCACGUGCCGCUGCUCUUAAAGCUGUAGAGGCAUAUGCAACUUCAGAAGCAGAGGUGCCAUUGCGUGAGCUUCCCAAGAUACCAUCUUUUCAUAAAUUUGCGAGACGUGAACACUGUGUCCAGUUGGAUGAAUUUGAUGUAAGAAGGAAGUGGUCUGAUGGCAAUUUCGGACGGCAAGAUUGUGUAUCAGAAAUAGAUUCAAGAAACUGCAGGGUUAGAAAUUGGUCUAUUGAUGUCAGUGCUGCUUGUCUUGACAAUUCAAAAAUGUCCGGUGAUAACUAUACUCAGUGCAGCUAUUCAAAUGAAGUACCAUAUACUUCAAGUCUAAGGGAACAUUCUGGAGAAAGUGGAGCAGUGGAUAGUAGAUUGACCAAAGCUUGGAUUGAUACAGAUGCUGUUGGUAGUGGAGGUGUUAAGGAUUCUCUUGCCAUUGAGAGGUGGCAGUUACAAGCAAUGGAUGCAGAUGCUGAUUUUUAUAGCAGCAUUCAUAUAAGAGAUGAAGAAGACUCCAAUAACUUAGUCUUACCAGCUUUAAGGAACCAAUGUCAGACUGGGGCAGAUGCUGCCUUACAAGUAGCAGAAAACAAAUCAUCUCUAGAGCAUCAGCAAAGAGGAGUGAACUAUAUUAAACAAGGUGUUGUGGAUUAUGUAGCUUCCCUACUGAUGCCUCUGUACAGAACUAGGAAGAUUGACAGAGAAGGUUAUAAAUCAAUAAUGAAGAGAACUGCAACCAAGGUUGUGGAACAAUGUACAGAAGAAGAAAAAAGAUUGGCUAUUUAUGACUUUCUUGAUUUUAGACGGAAGAACAAGAUUAGAUCUUUUGUGGACAAGUUGAUUGAGAGGCACAUGGCUAUGAAUCAAAGUGUGAAGUCGUGAUGUUUCCAAGUGAUGUAACAAAAGCUGGCAUUUUCUUCUCCUAUGGAAGAUGGACAUCCUUCAAGACCUUAUAACCUAUCACCAGGUCUGUUGCUUCAAAACUGUUGUGAAGCUGGGUAAAUGAUGAGUUGAUGGGCUGGUGAAUUUGGAUCACACUCUCGGGUGAGGCGCAACAACAAGUUCCAGAAAUCCAGGUAAAUUAUGAGUUAAUGAGCUGGUUUAAUCGGACCACACUCUCUCGUGAGACGCUACAAUGAGUUCCAGGGCAUGCCCUCUGAACUGUACAACAAGAAAAACUGUAAAGUCCCACCUAUUUGAGGUUAGUACACGAGCUCCGUAAAAAAUCAUAUCCUUGUUUAAGAGUAUUUAAAUUUUUAUCUAUAGAUUCUAAUAAAGUCCAUUUAGGUCUCUCUAUCUUUUCUCGCAAAAUUAAUAGUUUCACAUCUUAUAACUACAAUAUCUAUAGGUCUCUCUAGCACAUGCUCAUACCAUCUUAAAUGGUGCUUCCUCAUCAUAAUAAAUUGUUCAUGAAUAUUCACGAAUAAAAAAUAAUUCUUUCUCAUAUUUUAUAGUAAUUUCGUACAAUCACCUCAACAUUCUUAUAUCAACAACACAAACUUCUUAGUAUUCCAUACAUGCACCUCAACAUUCUUAUCUCAAUGACAAACUUUUUAUAUAUGUUGUCUUAUAGUUACUCAGCAUUUAAAUCUAUGAAGCAUCACAUGAUUAACAACUGUCCGUUGCUGUUAUAAACAUAAAAUCACAUGACUACAGAUAGUCUUUUUCUACUCGAGCCUGGUCUGUUGGUAUCGUUGAGCCCAAAUAAUUGACAAAAAUACUUAAGCUGAAGAUAACAAUUGUAUCUCCAUCAGACUCUUAUAUGUCAUUCUAAAUCUUAGCGCCCCCACUUCCAAUGUGGAACUAAACCUAGGUGUUACACUAGUAUUAAUGAUUGUAAAACAUCUUUAUUUAUGGUAGACUAUUAUUAGUAAUCAAUGGCCAAAUUGAAAUACAAGUCAUUAGUUAGUCCCCGCAAAGAACAAGGUGCAAUUCUUUAGUAGCAAGUUGGUAAUUAAAAUGAUGAUCUAAGUUUGAGAGCAAUAAAUUAAACAUAAUCAUAGUAGAUCAUGACUAUUCUUGAUUCAAAUUCAAUUGACAUUAAAUCUUUUUAACAAUUUGUGCAUGAGCAACAGUGCAAUCUUCAUUAACUAAAUUGUCAUAAUUUCUUAUCUAAGUUUCGGAGUUCUUUUUGUUCAUAGUCUACGUUUGAUUGGAUUAAAUGUAUGAGUUUUGCCAUUAUGAUGGAUAAUAACAGAAUUCAUUUUGCCAGGCCUAAUAAUAUGCCCAGACCUGUGGCCACUCCAUUUGAUCCCUUUUCACAAAACUGCAGUUUGACUAUCAUGUUGCAUUUUAACAAUUUAUGUUGUAGUUUUUAACAUUUGAUGUAAUAAUGCCAAAAAAGUAUCAUUUGAUCUUGUUAUGACAAGUAAUUUAUACGUAUAUGGUCAUAUUUGAACUCUUUUAUAUCGGUAAAGUUGUACUUGUAAACCCUUACACCAUAUAUUAACUGCAACAUUUCGGUUGAAUAUGUGUGGCCUUAAAUUGGAAACUAGUCUAUUUGUAUGUCUGUAAUUUACUGAUAAAUUAAUCAAUUUAGUCAUGUUUGGUACAUUCAAGUGCGGUUCGUGCAUUGACUUACCUUGUUAUUGCCCACUUCUCAAUUUCGACGGGUAUAGGAGAAUAUAGGUAGGAAAAUUAGCAUAAUUAUCUUUCUUAAUUUGAUCAUAAGUGCUGUGGAGCCCUACCAAUGGGUGAAAACCAUGUUUGCAUUUUGAGAUGGGAGUAAUAGAAAUAUAUGAAGAAAGAUUCGUGAUAUGCAAUCCCAAUGCUGAUACACGAAUAACAGACAGGAUUUCUUGGAAUAAAAUCAAUUGUUGGUGUGUCCAAGGAGUUGAUUGACAAUAUUAAUAGUUUGGGAUUUAGAGGGGUGACAUGCCACUUCCAUCUUCUUUAGAUGUUUUAUCCUAGGAAUCUAGGAUGGAAAGCACUAAAUUGUAUGGUUUCUUUGUAAGUGGAACUCUUUUGAUUCUCAAGUUCAUUUCGUCAUGUUUGGUAUUAGAUCAAAAGCAAAGACAAUCAUUUUUGUUGCCUUAGCUUAGUUCUGUUCACGUGAUCUACUUUUUUGUGCUUAUAAUAAUGCAUCAAUUUGUCAGCUUUUUUCUUCUGGCUACAAAGUGUCUUUACCAUCUUGGAAAUUUUAUUCAAGAUUGUAGAUAUCUAUACAGAUACACAUGUCUAUCUUCUUAAAAAAUCUUAGUGGGCUACCAUCGGAUUUUUACUGUUGAUCUAAAUAAAAAUUUUGUUUUCUGACGAUGGAAUACCUCUAAGAUUCAGCAUUAGUUCAUGAAAUAACAAAGUGGGAAGAAUCAAAAGGAUUUGAGAACUAACAGGCAGGUAAAAAGACAGGACUUGCUCCCUGUAUCUAAGGACUGAAGUCCUUUCCGAAUCUUUCGUUUUGCAAAGAUCAGAUAGACAUAGUGGACUUGUUGCAGGCUGAUAUAUAUUCUAAUGCAAGUUUUGUAUCUUCCCGACAGUGCCUUUGCCCAUUGGGUAAGACUCUUUACUUGUUUUAUCACAUGUAGUCCGUCAUGGACAUUGAGCACAUAGAGAUCCUUGCAGCUGUCAAUGAAGAAGAAGGCUUAGUCUGGCUCAAAUCAAGUUUUCUGGAGGGAAGAUGCUUGGAACGAGUUAUUGUAUUAAUCCUAUUUGCUUACUCUGUAUGCAUCAAAUUGUGAACGCUGUUGUUCCAUUCACUUUGUCAGUUACAAUUAGACUUCGAUCUUGAACACCAACCAUCCUGAGAUUGAGGAAUCAAAGGCUAUAAUGCACCAAAGAGAACAUGACAGCGCCGAUCCACAAGGGUUAAACAUCAUUUACAGACAAAACAUGACAACUUUGGAAGCCUAUCGGUGGACGAAGAAGACGUGGCUUAGCUGCUUCAGAAAAGAUGAACGACACACGAUACCCAAGUGUCCCCUUCAUUUCCCCCUCCCCCUCUGCCACAGGCCCGACCAGCACCCUAAAGUCUUCAUCUCUCUGUCCUGCAAAGCAAAAGAAAGGGAGAAACAUGAAGAAUGUGAUCUAGCUUUUCAAAAGAACAAUUGAUCAGUGUCAUUAUCAAGCUGCGUCGGGCAUCGAAUCUGUGAAUUUUAGCUGACUUUUUUCUUCAAUGGUUUGUUCUCUCUUGGCUGGAUGCCCCCCCUGGAGAACGAGAGAUAAUGCAACUGGUCGCCCUCCAAAUGCUCUUUGGAAGAUUAGAACUGUAUCUUUUCUGAGAUUAUUUUGGCGACUAAUUCUCCAUCGCAGUCAAGAAAACAAGGAAUCGUUUCGUUUCA